rnacentral:rRNA from 1 species
GAUGAAUGCUGGCGGCGUGCCUAACACAUGCAAGUCGAGCGGUAACAGGAGUAGUUUACUACUUGCUGACGAGCGGCGGACGGCUGAGUAACGCGUGGGAACGUGCCCCAAAGUGAGGAAUAACUGCCCGAAAGGGUAGCUAAUACCGCAUAUGAUCUUCGGAUUAAAGGAUUUAUCCGCUUUGGGAGCGGCCCGCGUCGGAUUAGGUAGUUGGUGAGGUAAUGGCUCGCCAAGCCCACGAUCCGUAGCUGGUCUGAGAGGAUGAUCAGCCAGACUGGAACUGAGACACGGUCCAGACUCCUACGGGAGGCAGCAGUGAGGAAUCUUCCACAAUGGGCGAAAGCCUGAUGGAGCAACGCCGCGUGCAGGAUGAAGGCCUUCGGGUCGUAAACUGCUUUUAUAAGUGAAGAAUAUGACGGUAGCUUAUGAAUAAGCACCGGCUAACUACGUGCCAGCAGCCGCGGUAA